GGUCCCGCGCUAACCGGGUCCCGCGCUAACCCGGCCCCGCGCCGCGGGUGCCCCGCCGGGCCCGCGCGCCAAGGUCGCGAGUCUCCACGCCGCGCUUGACCUGGCGGCAGCACCGUACUUGACAGCGUAUUGUCGCCAACACCACCCCACCAGCAUCCCGGCCGAGCGCUGCUCCCGCAAACUUUCUAGACGAAAAACUUCUAGAAGUAGAUCAUUAUUAACCCCGUUUUACAGAAGACGAAACUGAGGCUUAAAGUUAAGAACUGGAUGAGGGCAUUUAGGUAAAAAACACCCAGCUGGGAAGAGGCCAACCUGGAAUUUGAGAUCAACAGGCAAAGACGAGUUCCCACUGCUCAGAUGCCAGCCCACUGCCCAGGUUUCCAGGAAAGAGCUGGCUCCUGUCCUCCAGCACCUGCCACCUGCCUGUCCCAGAGGCCAAUCGGGCUUCCUGGAGACUCGCUGGGGUCAGUCCUUGCCUCCACCAGGAAGUUCUUCUCUGGAUCACCCCACUGCUCUCGGAACCUUGAGGGAUCUCAGUUCCCCAACCAGGGAUUGAACCCAGGCCCCGGCAGUGAAAGCCCGGAUCCUAACCACUAGGUCACCAGGGAACUCCCAGGGAUUAAUUUUUAAGUGUGGGCCUCAUCCAAUCAGCUGAAGGCCUGAAUUGAACUAAAAGACUGGCCUCUCCAGGCAAGAGGAAAUUCUCUAGCAACUGUCUUUGGACUUUCAUCUGCACCAUCGGCUCUCCUGAAUCUCCAGCCUGCUGGCUCACACUGCAGAUUUUGGACUUACAGCUUCCAUAGCCAUGUGAGCCAAUUCUUUUUAAUAAAUCUUUUUCUAUAUACACAUAAACUGGUUCUGUUUCUUUGGAGAACCCUGACUAAUACAGAUAAGAACAGGCAUUUCACAGAAGAAAUACAUAUGCAGAAUAAACAUACACAAAAAUGCUCAGCUUCCCUAGAGAUCAAGGAAAUGCAGAUAAAACAACCAUGAAAUAUCUUCCGUCAUUAGAAUGGCAAAAAUUUUUUGAACUGGCAUAUCCAAUGUUAGUGAGUAUAUGGGCAAUAAGUUCCCCCAAAUACUGAGCCUGGGAGUGUAAAUUGGAAAAAUGUUAAGGCAAUUUGGUAUUAACAUUUCAACAUACCAGCAAUGUUACUUUCAGGAAUUUAUCCCCCAUAUGUGCACUCAGAGACAUGUUCAGAAAUAUUCGUUGCCUAAUUAUUUGUAACUGCAAAAAUUGGAAACACAUAAAAGUCCAUUAAAUGAGACUGGUUAAGGGAAUUCCCUGGUGGUCCAGUGGUUAGGACUCUGAGCUUCCAUUGCAGGGGG